AAUACAUCCAGACAUAGGAGAAAAUAAAAAAAUGUUAUUGGUGAAUAUAAACAAUGUAGUUAUGGCGUGGUUAAAUGCUUUAAAUUUAUAUAAUUAGGAAGAAAUAUACGUAUUUUAUUUUGGCAAUUUCAAGGCUGCAGCGGGAGCAAUACAUAUAAACAAGGUAUACAAAUAGUCUCGCCUAACUACUUAUUAUGUUCCAUAUAUUAGUGUUCCAUUUCUAAGUUUUAUGUCAAUUGCGUUUUUACUCGGUUUUGGUCCGGAAAUAUGCACCACACCUCCAGGAACAGACUAGCGCACAAGUGAACAGACAAGAUAGGGCCUUCGUCUUUAGGAGAAAAAAAAAAUACCUAUGUAUUUUUUACAUAAUUAUUAGUAGACUUAAAUCAAUCAAAUAAGCCUCUGGAUCACUUUCGAGCGAUGCCCGACCACGCCCACUCACGCUUUCGUCUGGGACAUGAACCCCCUCAGGCAAAUCCUGGCGCCAUCCCUGAAUGAUUGACGAACAGUGAAUGAAUGACGAUAAACGACAGGCUCUGGCAAAACCAUUUGUUGGUAUUAUAUUGUUGAAUUCUAAAUUGAUUGCCUUUUUGUUUGGUUUUUUUUUUUUUUACAUUUCGUAACAUUUCAACUUUCAAUUUUUAUUAAAUUUUGAGUAGGCCUACUUGAGAUAUCAUUAUUAUUUAAUUCAUUGCAUAACAUGUAUAGAGCAUACAGUUUGCCUUUGCGGUAGCGCGCGCGAAAAAGUUUUUGUGCGCUAGAGGGCGUAGUCACAAUAGUCUGCAAAAAAAGAAACUUGAUCGAUUCUUUGACUGAGAACAUCUUGUUAUAUCUAAGUUUUUGAGCAACAUGUGGCCAGGCCAAAUCAACUGUGGUCCUGGAUAUGGGCAGCCCCAAAGGUUGCCAGUUUUUCCUUCUCAGGACCACACACAACAAGGCAUUAUGCUAAUGAACUCGCAGUCUAAAGGAGAUGUUUUUCUAGCUCAGCCUAAUGCUAUGUCACAGAAUGUCAAUAUGCAGACUAGCAAGGAACAAGUAAUAAAAAUUGAGCAUGUUUAUGAGCCCUGUUAUGUCACAUUAUCAAACCCAAGUGGAGACAGUACAUCAGCACGCAUUGCAACACAAGAUGGCUUCACCUUUGAAAUUAUUCCUAAUUCAAGUGUAAGUGAGGUGUCAAGACAUCCAAAUAACCCCCAGCAUAUUCCCCUGCAGUAUCCACAGCAAGGUUCUAUCCCUAGCUCACAGGUACAGCUAGGUCUUAACUCCGGCCAACAGACACACUAUGCUAACUCUAAUCAAGAGGCACAGCAACAUGCUAACUCUAGGCAACAAGUGCAGCAAUGUUCUAACAUCAGCCUACAACUACAGCAAGGUCCUAACUCUAACCUACAAGUACAACAAGGACCUAACUCUGGCUUACAGGCAUCUAAUAGCAGACAAAACAUCCCAAAUAUGGAAGAAACUCCUCAUGUUACCAGUACUUCCAGUCAUUUGGAUAUGUCUUUCACUGGACUGGGAAAAACUCCUUUUGGAAUGGGAAACACUCCAAAUGAAAUGGGUGAUAUGCAGUCUGCUACUCAAAAUUCAAAUUCAGCAUUUAAUGCAAGUAGAUUACAGACAGUUCUAACAUUGCAAUGGCUUAUGGAGAACUAUGAGACAUGUGAGAGCUACUCUGUUCCAAGGUGUGUUGUCUAUGAUCAGUACACUGAUUUCUGUGCUUCCAAUUCCUUCAACCCACUUAAUCCUGCAACAUUUGGAAAGCUUAUCCGGCAAGUUUUCGUCAAUCUUAAGACUCGUCGAUUGGGGAUCAGGGGUCAGUCUAAAUACCACUACUAUGGAAUCCGAGUGAAGCGCACAUCUGAACUCAGCCACAGUGACGAACAUUUCACCUCUGAGCCAAAGUUGCCAAAACACACACUAGUGCCAAGCAACUUAAUGAUUACCGACAUUGACAACACAAUCAAACCAAAUAAGAAUCAGUCCACCAUGGACUCCACCACUGAAGACUCACCGGUUGCAGGACCUGUUGAUCGCAGUCUAUCACCAGUCACAGCUCUUGGACUUGCUCUUAUCCCUCAAUUCCCUAAAGCAUUCAUGUUGAAAUCAUUGCCUUCCAUUGCCAACUUAGACAAGGUGGAUACAUUUCUAACAGAGUACAGAACCCACUGCGAGUACUUAUUGGAAGCCAUAUUAAAGGGGAAAUUUUCAGAGAUAUUUAGUCAAAUGGUGAUCUUCUGGGAGAACUUAAGUGCUGCAAACCUUCAGUUACUUAAAAUGGGAUAUUUGGCAGGAACUAUAAAGUUCUGUGACAUCCUUCUCUACAAGACAAUUAUUAGCAUCUUGAUUCCUGGCACAACACUAGAAGUGCCUCAAAGCCUUCUAAAAGCAGUUAGAAUCUUUGCUAAAGACUUCCGCAGCAAACUUAGUAAACACAUACAGGAGCUGCCAACGAAGGUCUUUGAGGCUAAGAAUGAAGCUGCAACAAGUUUUGUGAAAUUAUUGGUCAGAAAAACAACUCUUUCCCAUAUUGCUCAGAUUUCCAGGAGUUUGAUGCCUUAUUGGAGAAGACGGCUACAGUAGAACAGCAUGUUGAGUGGAUUGAUGGUGUGCUGAAAACUUUUAUUGAGAAGACCUCGGAGGGUAAGGAAAAAGCGAUGCAGAACUUUCUUCUCUAUGUGUCAACGAUCUCAAAGCUAGUCCUUCAUGAUCAUACUUUGAGAAGCGCCAGCAGUU
rnacentral:misc_RNA from 1 species